CAGCGCCACGAGUGGGGACUACAAUUAUUGGGCCUAAAGCGUCCGUAGCCUGUUUAAUAAAUUUUUUGUGAAAUUGUUGGGCUUAACCUAACAACGUGCAGAAAAGACUGUUAAACUUGGGACUGGGAGAGGUUAGAAGUAUCUUUGGGGUAGCGGUAAAAUGUUAUAAUCCUAAAGAGACUACCAAUGGCGAAGGCAUCUAACCAGAACAGGUCUGACGGUGAGGGAUGAAAGCUGGGGGAGCAAACCGGAUUAGAGACCCGAGUAGUCC
rnacentral:rRNA from 1 species